AUGUUGCAUGGCAUCGAUUCGCGUGCCCAUGCAUGGUCACCCGACGAGCCCGUCGCGCCGAGCAUCUCCACUGCUCGGUCCGUUUCGCCAGCGGCCGCCGAGUCGCCCGCGGCUCGGCCCGUCACGCCGUCUUCGCCUGCGGCUCGGCCCGUCACGCCGUCUUCGCCCGCGGCUCGGGUCCUCACGUCGCCUUCAUCAGCGGAUCGGCCCGCGACACCGGCCGCGCCACGGCCCACUAUGCCGAGCUCGCCAUCGGCCCGGUCUGUGAUACCGGAGUCGCCAGCUGCUUCGUCUGCUCUGCCGGUUUCGCCGGUGGGUCGGCCUUCUUCGCCAACCGAGUCCGAGGCUACCGUGACUGGCUCCUCGUCACCGGCUGACUUGUCAACGUCGUCGUCCUCCAGCCCGUUGCAGGCUGCUCCGUCGACCUCGGUGGUUCCUGUGUCCCGACCACAUACACGCAGUCGCAGUGGCAUUUUCAAACCUAAGGAACGUAAGGAUGGUACGGUUGCUUGGUUGGCUGCUUGUUUGGCUGCUGCUGUUGCGGAUCCAUCUUCUGAGCCUCGCUCAUAUCAGGCUGCCCUGCGCAUUCCACAUUGGCGAGAGGCUAUGGAGCAGGAGUUUCAUGCUCUUCUUCGUAACAAGACAUGGACUCUCGUUCCUCCACCACCACGGGUAAAUGUUAUUGACUCAAAAUGGGUAUUCAAAGUGAAGAAGCAUUCGGAUGGAUCUAUUGAGCGUUACAAAGCGCGACUUGUUGCUCGCGGUUUUCAGCAGCGUCAUGGUCUUGACUAUGAGGACACCUUCAGUCCUGUCGUCAAGCCUACCACUAUUCGGCUUCUUCUCUCCAUUGCUGUUUCUCGUGGUUGGUCACUUCGUCAACUUGAUGUGCAGAAUGCUUUUCUACAUGGAUUUUUGGAGGAAGAGGUUUAUAUGAAAUAG
rnacentral:rRNA from 1 species